rnacentral:rRNA from 1 species
UAUCUCUGUAGAGUCUGCAUAUCAAUAAGCGGAGGAAAAGAAACUAACUAGGAUUCCCUCAGUAACGGUGAGUGAAGCGGGAAGAGCUCAAAUUUGAAAUCUUCAAGGUUCUACCUUGACGAAUUGUAGUUUAAAGAAGUGUUUUCUGUUGGAGUUUUGGUAAAAGUUCUUUGGAAUAGGACAUCAUAGAGGGUGAGAAUCUCGUAUUUGACCAUUAUUUCCAGCUUUGUGAUACACUUUCAAAGAGUCGGAUUGUUUGGGAAUGCAGUCCAAAAUGGGUGGUAAAUUUCAUCUAAAGCUAAAUAUUGGCGAGAGACCGAUAGCGAACAAGUACCGUGGGGGAAAGAUGAAAAGAACUUUGAAAAGAGAGUUAAACAGUACGUGAAAUUGUCAAAAGGGAAGCGUUUGACACCAGUGUUGUUUUCUCGAAAAUCAAUUAAAAAUGGCUUGAUUUUGUGUUGUAUUGACCUUAAAAGCUUUCUUCACUUUUUUCAUGUCUUUUUUAAUGCACUUUUCGUUUAACAAGUCAACAUCAGUUUCUUUUGUUGUAAAAAGGUCAUUGGAAGGUGGCUUUCUUUUCGGAGAAAGUGUUUAUAGCCUUUGACUUCUGCAAUCGGAGAGACUGAGGUCUGCAGCGUAGAUCCUUCUGGAUUAGAUUCAUUUGUGUUAAGUUACAACCGUUUAUAGACAACUUGUUGACUAUAUUCGAUCCUGUAGCUUACUCGCUUAUGUAAUUUUACCUACGCUUAGGAUGUUGAAGAUGUAGCACAUCAU